UAAAGUAAAAUUUAUCUUCACCGAUAUCUCCAAAUAGAGCAAAUAUUGGCAACAUGAUACGAGCUCUUGAAGUAAUUGAUCAACAUAUGCAUCUUUUGAGAUCAUUGUUACCUCUUUAGGCGUAAUUUGUAGAAAAAUAUCAGCAUGCCUACAUAUCAUGUCCAUAGUUGGACCUUAUGCAAAAUAUUUUGCCAUAUAUUUAUGAUCAUGAAUAUCCAUAAUUUGAAUCUAAGCCUUUAAUAUGAAAAGGUCUUAGAGGAUUCCUGUCACGCCCCAAUUUUAGAAAGGAAAUUUUCAAAAAUUUUGGCAUGAUAUAACUUAAAAUACUAUAAUCUCAAAACCUGUUUCAACAAAAAACAAGGAAAAUAAACUCAAUGCGGAAAGUAAAUUUAUACACAACUCCAAAUUGAGUUAAAUAUUACAUUUCCUUGUUUACAUAAAGUUGAGAGUCAAGAAAAUGAAACGCUCGCAUGAGUUUAAUAUUGUCUAUCCUAAUGUAUAUAAAAAAAAUAUAUACAAUGAACAACCACAAUCCAACAAAAAAGCCCGCCACUAAGCCUCCACCUCAACCCUGCUGAUCCUCACCUGCAAGUCUAACCCCUACACCAAGAAUUGGUACACCGAGUUAUAAACAACAAACCGGUAAGCUAAAAAACUCGUAUGAGUAAACUCAAACAUAACACAACAUUUAUCACAUCCAAUAUUCCACAAGAGAGAUUAGAUCAAUAAUUAAAAACCACACAUCCAACACAUUACCCAAGAAAUGUACCCAUGAGUCCCAGAUAUUUAAUAAAAUAUCCCUCAUGACCUACAACAACACUAUGUGUACCCAUGGGUCCCAGAUACCAUACAGUAUCUCCUAUGACCUACACUGACAGACGGACUAGAGUUCUAUUCCUAACCGCAACCAAUCACCCAGCCAAAGGCUUGGAACCUGGUUUGACUGUCUAAUAUCAAACACAAAAAUGAUAAAUAGCAUCUUAACCGCAACCAAUCACCCAAUUAAGGGCUUGAAACCCGGUUUGGCUAUUUAUCCAACAAUCAUAAUAUCACAACAUUAUCCUCAACAACCUAAUAUCACAUCAUUAUUCUCAACAACACAAUAUCGCAUCAUUAUUCUCAACAACACAAUAUCACAUCAUAAAUUAUAUCCUACCACAUGGAUAUAUUUACAUGAACAAUUUUAGAUAUUCCACAAGAAUAAUCUAUCAAAAAUCAAUAAAAUUAUGAUCACAUGAAUCUCAAAAUAGCAUUUAAAGAAAACUUGUUUUAUCUUACCUAUGAGCCGUUGACGAUCAAGCUCAUAUAUUUUUAAAAACAAUUAAAAGCAUAUUACUAAAUCCAACAUUAUCAUCAUUAUCAUCAUCACAUGACCAUAAUAACAUUCGGUUCAAAAGUGAACCUUAGUGAGAUUUACUCACCUAGAUAUCCUGCUGUGAAACCCCCAACCUAACGAAGGCAAGCCAAUCACAAAAUCACAAAUCACCUAAAAUCACACAAUUAAAAACCUUAGAAACCAAAGUAGUAAAGGAUAACACAAUACCCUUAAACUAACCCUUAGCUUAAGGGAGGACAACUUUCCAAAGUCGUUGAACUCAACGACACAAUAGAGCUGCCUCAACUCUUCAAAACCUAAACUCUAACCCAACCAAGCCAACACCAAUAAACUUAAGUCCUAGCAUAUAUACCAACUUUGCUUAAAAUCUAGCCAUACUACCACUCAACAAGCUCACAGCAACAAGGACUAGCUAACCACAGGAAACUAAGGCCGCCACUCAGCCGGACGUGCCGCCACGCGCCACCACAGGCAGCGGCGAGUAGGCCCCACGCGCCACCCCAGACUUCCGAAUUAGGAGAAACUCCCUACAACAAAGUUGAAGCUUGAAGUAAGGGGAACAACUUUCAUACCUGAGGCUUCAACCAAUUUUGGCCGGAAUCGGCCGGAAAUUGCCCCGAAAACAGUGACCCGAAUCAGACCACAACACCUGCAAAUCCGGCCUCAAAACCUCAAAAAUUUGCUUCAAUCUAUGUCUAGACACUACCAGGAGGAGGAGAGGAUCACAACUCACCUAUGGUUGCCCCUCGUCGCCGCCGUACACGGCAGCUCCGACCGUGGCACAGCAGCCCUCUUUCCGGCAACUAAGCUCCAAAUCCGGCGUGCUACACCGAGCAGCAGCUGCCCAGCCUUGGAGAGGAUGCUUGUGGGAGCCGAACGGGACCGGUGGCUGUCCAAACGGUGGCCGGACGGCAGAGCUAGCUCCGGCGGAAGUUUGGUCCUCGGGAGAGCUCGGGAGAGGAAGAGAGGGAAGGAAGAGAAGAGAGAAAAGAGAGUGGAGUGAGGGGAGUGAGGAGAGAGAGAGCUGUUUAGUGUUAGGGUUUCCAAAAAUAACCCACACACAUUUUCCUACUUAAACACUUUCCACACCCGGAACCUAACUUCCUUUGACCAUAACUUUCUCUCACAACUUCCGAUUUACGCGUGCCGCAUGUCUACGAACUCGUAUCGACAAGCUUUACAACUUUCGUGAAGGAAGUUUUCGAAGAUAACUCAUAGAAAAUAAAGUCAACUUUUGGCCUCUUAAAAGUCAAAGCAUCUUAAAUUAAACUCCCGAAACUUCAACUUCACAUAAACCAAAGAAUUUUCAUAAAUAAUCCUUUAUUAAUUAUGGGAAUAAUAUAAGGAAAAAUUAUAUGAAAAUCUAAGGUAUUACAAUUCCAAUUUAUCAAAGUCCAAUGAUGUACUCGAAUAUUGAGUUUGACCAGUGGUCCAUAUGGGUAUAAGCAUAUACUCUAUAUUUAUAUUAUAAUGGAGGAUCAUAACCUCAUCAAAUUUCAAAUGAUACUCAAAUUAAUGUGGCAUAGUUGGUGGGACGGUUAUGUACGUAACCCAAC
rnacentral:lncRNA from 1 species